UGGGCCUUAGUGAAAGGACAAUGAAGCAGU
rnacentral:piRNA from 1 species